rnacentral:sRNA from 1 species
CGACCGCGGCUAGGUCGCCGCAGACUCGAGCCAUGGGCAGCAGGAAGAAGGAAAUUGCCCUGCAGGUCAACAUCAGCACCCAAGAGCUUUGGGAGGAAAUGCUCAGUUCCAAAGGACUAACUGUUGUUGAUGUCUAUCAAGGCUGGUGUGGCCCCUGCAAACCUGUGGUGAGCCUCUUCCAGAAGAUGAGGAUCGAGGUCGGCCUGGACCUUCUGCACUUUGCAUUAGCAGAGGCAGAUCGUCUUGAUGUCCUCGAAAAGUACAGAGGGAAGUGUGAGCCAACCUUUCUGUUUUAUGCAAUUAAAGAUGAGGCUCUUUCUGAUGAAGAUGAAUGUGUUUCCCAUGGAAAGAACAAUGGUGAAGAUGAGGACAUGGUUUCAUCAGAGAGGACCUGUACCUUGGCCAUCAUUAAACCAGAUGCAGUGGCCCAUGGAAAGACUGAUGAGAUUAUCAUGAAGAUUCAGGAAGCUGGGUUUGAAAUUCUAACAAAUGAAGAGAGAACCAUGACAGAGGCAGAAGUGCGACUUUUCUACCAACACAAAGCUGGAGAGGUCAGCUCAUCUACUUCCACAAGUUCAA